CUUCACCGACCCGAGCAACAGGGGCUGUUCGCGGUCCUGCCCGUACAUGGCCAGCAGCGCCUGCGCCUC
rnacentral:antisense_RNA from 1 species